AUAUUGCACAAUGGGGGAAACCCUGAUGCAGCGACGCCGCGUGAGCGAUGAAGUAUUUCGGUAUGUAAAGCUCUAUGAGCAGGGAAGAAAAUGACGGUACCUGACUAAGAAGCCCCGGCUAACUACGUGCCAGCAGCCGCGGUAAUACGUAGGGGGCAAGCGUUAUCCGUAUUUACUGGGUGUAAAGGGAGCGUAGACGGCGUGGCAAGCCAGAUGUGAAAGCCCGGGGCUCAACCCCGGGACUGCAUUUGGAACUGUCAGGCUAGAGUGUCGGAGAGGAAAGUGGAAUUCCUAGUGUAGCGGUGAAAUGCGUAGAUAUUAGGAGGAACACCAGUGGCGAAGGUGGCUUUCUGGACGAUGACUGACGUUGAGGCUCGAAAGCGUGGGGAGCAAACAGG
rnacentral:rRNA from 1 species